GACUUUGAGUCUUACUCAACUUGGCAUUACUUUGUAUCGGUAAUUCUCCCUUCUUCGAGUUUUCCAUACUAAAACGUUUUAGUACUUUAUCUAAGUAAGUGUUCUGACUAAGUCCUAUUAGUCUCUUACUUCGUUCUCUCACUAUCCUUAUUCCCAAAAUAUAGGAAGCCUCUCCGAGGUCCUUCAUAGCGAAGCACUUCUCGAGCCAGGACUUAACUUCCUGCAGAUUCGGGACGUCGUUUCCUAUGAGUAGUAUGUCAUCGACAUACAGAACGAGGAAGCUUACUAUACUCCUACUGGCUUUGACAUAUACACAUGAUUCAUCUUCAUUUCGUACGAAUCCAAACUCUUUGACUUUCUCAUCGAAGCAAAGAUUCCAUUUACAAGACGUUUGCUUAAGUCCAUAAAUGGACUUCUCAAGCUUACACACUCUAUUCGGAUGCUUCGGAUCGACAAAACCCUCUGGCUGAGCCAUGUAAACAUCCUCAGCCAACUUCCCAUUAAGGAAAGCGGUUUUGACAUCCAUUUGCCAAAUCUCAUAAUCAUGAAAUGCGGCAAUAGCUAGCAUCACUCUAAUAGAUUUAAUCUUCGCAACUGGUGAGAAGGUCUCAUCAUAGUCAACUCCGGGAGUUUGAGUAAAGCCCUUCGCAACCAAUCGCGCUUUAUAUGUGUGUACGUUUCCAUCCACGUCGGUCUUCUUCUUGAAGAUCCAUUUGCACCCAACGGUCUUACGUCCGGGCACAUAAUCAACCAAAUUCCAAACUUGGUUAUCAUACAUGGAUUGGAUCUCGCUAUCCAUUGCCUCUUUCCAUUUUGCAGACUCCGGGCCUGCCAUGGCUUCCUUAUAGCUAUUAGGUUCAUCAAGAUUUACUAGUGUACCAUCACUAAUAUACGUGUCCCCUUCGGUAGUAAUAUGAAAGCCAUAAAACUGGGGAUGAACUCUAACUCUAUCGGAACGUCUAAGAGGUAAGGAUUCGUCAAUCGGUUCAACCGGAGUUUCCUCCUCGGGUUGAGUGCCAGCGGUAGAGGUUCCUUCAUCUAUCGACUCUUGAAUCUCUUCAAGUUCGAUUUGCCUCCCACUGUCUCCUUGGCUUAUGAGUUCUCGCUCUCGGAAAACUCCUCUCCUCGCAACGAAGACAACAUUGUCCUUCGGUCUAUAGAAGAGAUAUCCAAAGGAUGUCUGCGGGUAGCCGAUGAAAAUACAUCGCUCACUUCGAGGUUCAAGCUUGUCGUGAGUAUCUCGUCUUACGAAAGCCUCGCAACCCCAAACCUUGAUAUGUGCCAACGAGGGAGCUUUCCCUGUCCACAUCUCGUGAGGUGUUUUGGCAACCUUCUUAGUAGGGACUCGGUUAAGGAUAUGGGCGGCAGUCUCUAAGGCAUACCCCCAAAAAGAGAUUGGUAGUGAAGCACGACUCAUCAUAGAGCGAACCAUAUCCAAUAAGGUUCGAUUACGCCUUUCUGCCACACCAUUCAACUGCGGUGUCCUAGGAGGCGUCAAUUGUGAAACUAUUCCACACUCCUUGAGAUAAUCGUGGAAUUCAAGACUUAGGUACUCUCCUCCUCGAUCGGAUCGAAGCAUCUUGAUUUUCCUGCCCAAUUGAUUCUCCACUUCAUUCUUGAACUCUUUGAACUUUUCAAAGGUGUCUGACUUUUGCUUGAUUAAGUAGAUAUACCCAUAUCUACUAUAGUCAUCGGUAAAAGUCACAUAGAAGCGGUUCCCAUCCUUCGUGGUUGAUCUAAACGGUCCACAUACAUCGGUAUGUAUUAGGUCCAAUAGACCCUCGCCCCUUUCACAUGUACUCGUGAAGGGUGACUUAGUCAUCUUUCCAAGCAAACAAGACUCGCAUGUGUCAUCUUCCCUAAGGUCGAAUGACUCCAACACUCCAUCCUUUUGGAGUUGGGCUAUGCGUUUCUUGUUGACAUGUCCAAGACGACAAUGCCACAAGGAUGCUUUAUCCAUACUAGUGGAAGAAUCAAUAUUCAAAACAUCAUUUCCUAAGUUAUCAACAAUCAUAACGGUUUCAUAUAUUCCAUUACAUGGUAUAGCUUCAAAGUAAAAGACACCAUUUAGAUAAGCCAAAAUAGAACCAUUCUCAUUAUUAAAAGAAAAUCUAAAUCCUUGUCUAUAUAAACCAUGAAAUGAAAUGAUGUUUCUUGCCAUUUCUGGCGAAUAGCAACAAUUGUUCAAAUCUAAAACUAAACUAUUCCUAAGCACUAAGGAAUACACUCCAAUCUUGGUCACAGGCGACGAUCUUCUGUUCCCCAUGAUUAGAUUGAUCCUUCCUUGCUCCACAUCCCUACUUCUUCUUAGUCCCUGCACAUUAGAACAAAUGUGAUAACCACAACCGGUAUCAAGAACCCAAGAAAUAGCAUGAUUAGAAUCGUUAGAUUUGAUUGUAUAUAUACCUGCGAAAGAUGGCUUGAUCUUUCCUUCUUUGAUUGCUUGCAGGUAAUCUGGGCAGCUUCUCUUCCAAUGUCCUAUCUUGUGGCAGUGGUGGCACUCUGCCUCCUUCGGGUUAGAGCAGGGCUUAGCGGGAUCAACUUUGGUCCCACUAGAAGAGGCACCAUCUCGGGCUUUCACCUUGCGAUAGUUCUUCGAUGAAGCUUUCCUCUUCUUUCCCUUCCCUUGUCCAAUAGCCAAGACAGGAGCAGCGGGCGGAUUGGGAGUAGGUGCAACAGACUUGUCUUUGAAGUUGCUCUCAGCAACCCUCAAGAGACCUUGGAGCUUGCUUAGGGUGACCUCUUCUUUGUUCAUGUGGUAGGUCAUCCUAAAUUGAUUGUACAUCGGAGGCAAAGAGUGAAGCACCAUGUCGAUCGCCAAAUCCUCACCGAAGUCAACAUUUAACUUGCGAAGGCGGUCGACAUACCUUUGCAUCUUUUGCAAGUGCACGGUAAGAGAUUCUCCAUGACCCAUCUUCGCGGAAAUCAUGUUAGUGAAAAUCUCGUACCUCUCUUGUCUCGCGUUUUGGUGGUACCUCUCCAAUAAGUCUUGAUGCAUCUCGUACGGGUACAUGUCCUCGUAGGACUUUUGGAAUUCGGAGUUCAUGGUGGCGAUCAUGAUGCAAUGUACCUUCGUUGCAUCUCGCUCAUGAGUCUCAAAAGCGGUGAUUUCGGCGGGAGUAGCGAUUUCGGGGUUGAUUUUCUCGAGCUUCUCAUCGAGGACAUACUCCUUAUCCUCAUAGCGAGCAAUGGUGCGAAUGUAUCUUAUCCAUUCGCUAAAGUUCGUUCCAUCGAAGGUGACCUUUUGGCAAAGGCUCAUCAACGUGAAAGAACUAGCAGCAGCGUUGUUUGCGUUCGACAUCUACAAUUAGAAAAGGACAAAGAUAGAUUAGAAUAAGAAUCCCUAAUUAUCACCCAAUAAGAAAAUUAGGGCUAGGAUCCAACAAUAACAUUUACAUACUAGAAAAGGGAUGCCGUAAUCUAACAUGCAAAUAAAUUGAAGGUAAGUGAAUGACGAUUCACUAAUUCUCCAUCACAAAACUUAAACUAUUAGUCCUAAGUGUUUUUGAGAAUUCCUAGGUUCGGAUGAGAUUCAUUGAAACUAUUCAAUGGCAUGUUUAAAUCUCGAUAUGCCCCUCUUGUUUGUGACUGGGAUGCCGAGGAUCACAAAGCGGGUGUGAAUUACCAUGCAAAUUCACAUGGUGCCUUCAUUGUAACGAUCACCUAUUCGAUGUGCCGGUAAACCACACACGCUCCAUCGAACUAUGAUAAACAAUGAAUCACCCUUUGCCACCUUCGCUUAGAACCAAUUAGUGUGCCGGUAAACCACACACGCUCCACUAACAUCUUAGCAAGGUGCAAAGUGUAAUUUCAUGGGAUUGCAUCAAUUCACUUUUCCUAAAGUAACUAGGAUUGGGAAAUUUUAAAAUAUGUGUAGUUACUUUGUAUUUCUUAUUAUACUUUUAAUGAGAGGAUGAGGUUGCCCUAUCCUACCCGUUCGGCUAACGACCCUCCACCAAUCAAGCAAGCGGUGGGUGUGAGUGUACACCCAUUAAGCGCCAUUUUAUAGGCCGCAACCUUAUACCCACCUUAUAGAUCGGCUUCGUGAAUGAGGCCUACUAACGGUAAGACUAGCAUUUAGUUAUACAUAUAUAUAUUAUUCUAGUAAUAUCAUAUUAGUAUAGGGUUGUAUUUUAAAACUUUUAAAAUCUAGGGUUUGAAAUUUAAGUUGUCUAAAUUAAAACUUUUAAUCACAAAAGUAAAUUUCAAAACAUGAGGGUAGGUUUUAAACAUUUAAAACAUGGAGGAUCAAAUAACAAAUAAUUCCAAUUAACAAUUAAUAUCCUAAUUAUCUAUAUUUGAUUUAUUCAAGAUUUCUUUUUAAGAUAAUUACCAAAAUAAUUAAAAUAAUUAAUUAAUUAUCAUAUAAGGAAAUUAAAUAUUUAAUUAGUUGAUAAUUACCUUUAACUAGAUCAAGAUAAUAGUUAUAUUUAUCAGAAAAACGAAUUAAUGUUGAUCUAAUUAGUUUAUGGUAAGUUAAGAUAAGAUAAACACAAAGAAAUCCCGAAUCUGGCCAUUCCUGACGCCUGGACUCGCCGAGUGCACAAAUGGACUCGCCGAGUCAGGCCUACUCGCCGAGUCCACUUUGAGACUCGCCGAGUCCAUGACUCAGAAACCAAAAAAUCGAAUUUUGCAGGUUUGUUUCAGUUAAUCAAGCAACAAUUUAAAGAAAACCAAGCUAGGCUCUGAUACCACUGAUGGGUUUUAGCCAUAAGAACUUUCCUAUGUGCGCAUGCAAAACCCUAAUGCUUGGAUCUAGGCUUUCUAAUAAACAUGCAUUGAAUCCAAGUCUUCUAAUGACUAAUUAGGUUAAAUAACAACAUUGAAACAGAUCUAGAAUCAUACCUUUGAGUUCCUUGUUGAUCUUGAGGUCUUGGAGCUUCUAGAGUCACAAGUGUCACUCCUCUAAUGGCUUACAAACACCAAUAGCAAUAAGAAUGAUUUAGGAGAGAGGAGAGGGGAGGAAUUCGACCAGAGUUCUCUUGCUUUUUCAGAAGUGUCGAAUUCCCUAUGCCAUGGGGUCUAUUUAUACUUGUAGACUCCUUAAGGAUUACAGAUAAGUCCCUAUCAGAUAAUCUUCUCUUAAGGCUAUCCAAAUCCAUUCCUAGAUAACUCUAAUGGACGAUUUUAGCUAUCCUAAUCCUCUUAGAAUUCGUCCAUAGCAUAUCCAAAUGGAUUUACAGUCUAAAGCUUAACUAUCAAACAAUUGACAGUUUAUACCCCUUUAUUUAAUUAAUCUCUUUAAGUCACCAAAUUAAUUCUAAUUAAUUCUAUGACUUAUAUUAAUCAAAUAACAAAUAUAUUAUUCAUUAUAUUAUUCUCAUAAUAUAUUAAUAAUAUUUACUCUCUCUUAAUAAAUCAUCCUAUCAAGUUGCUAUGGUGAAGGCAACCCAAAAGGACCAUGCACAACCGGAUCAAAUACUUGCCUAAUAUAGUUACAGCCUUAGACACUAUUCCAACAGUCUCCCACUUGGAUAAGUCUAGUAACUAUACAAGUACAAUUCGGUUUGCAAUCGUAGCUCUCAAAGACGCUGUCAACUCUGAUCUAAUCAAUCUUGUCCUUUAGAUAAGGGAACGUACAGUCCUCUGUUAGAUAUCAUGCUGACAAUCCUAUGGAAUGGUUAGUCAAGCAUUUAGGUUUCUCGAUCUCUGAUUUAUUUGACAUAGAACUUAAUCGAACACAUCAAUUCAGUUCUGACCGGGCCCGGCACAUAAGUCAAAUCAAAUCAUCGAGCGGCCGAGAUAUCGCUUUUACCUUCUUAGAUAAAAGUUACAGAUAAACUUCGACUUAUAUGCAUUUACUUAUUCAUUAACCAACUAUACACAACAAUACGUUUUAUAACACCAAGUUACUGAUGCGUUUUCGUAUUAUCAAUGUACAAUCAAUUAACAAAUAAUAAACCAUAUAUCUAGGUUUUAAGACUAUAUGAUAUUAUCGUCUUGCGAUCACCUUUUAUAUCGUAUUCCAUAAGGUGAUUCCAGCAAGCGCGGGUUUAUUCCAAUGCUCAAAACUAGUUCAUAAGCACUCAUGAACGUUGCAGCAAUCCUUUGCUAUGUCUAACACCAUUUAGACAUUCUACACACCAAUUCAUGACAAUCUUCAUUCAUAUCUACUCCCAACAUAUGAACGAUUGUGGACCAUUUGAACAAUUCGAUUAUUCCUAAUAAACUCAAUUAUUCUGGAAGUCAAAACAUGCAAAGUGAAACAAUAGCUAAACAAUUAACAUAAGAUAGUAACAUUACUCAUAAAUAAAACUCCUUUAUUUAAUCAUCAAAUGUUAAUUACAUUUAUCUAUUACACGUUUCUAAUACUAUCUAAUCUAUGCUAAUAUCAUCCUUCAGCCCAAUACUCCUAGCAUGCUGCAAGUGCUUAACCCUACUCAGUCCCUUCGUAAGCGGAUCUGCUGGGUUAUCUUCUGAUGAUAUCCUCUUCACUACGAGUUGUCCUUCUUCUACACGAUGUCUAAUGAAGUGAUAUUUUCUGUCGAUAUGUCUUGAUCUACCAUGAUCCCUCGGUUCCUUGGUCAAGGCAACCGCUCCUUCGUUAUCACAGAAAAUCUCCAUGGGCUCCUUUAUGGCAGGUACAACUCCAAGAUCACCGAUGAAGUUCUUUAGCCAUAUUGCCUCCUUCGACGCUUCGCUCGCUGCAAUGUACUCUGAUUCGCACGUUGAAUCAGCUACGGUUUCCUGCUUGGAACUCUUCCAUGUCACUGCUCCUCCAUUUAGGGUAAAGACCCAGCCCGACUGCGAACGGUAGUUGUCCCUGUCGGUCUGAAAACUGGCGUCACUAUACCCUCGCACCUUCAAGUCAUCACUCCCUCCGAGGACUAAGAACCAUUCCUUCGUCCUCCGAAGGUACUUAAGGAUAUUCUUCACCGCAAUCCAAUGUGCUUUGCCAGGAUUCCCUUGAUAUCUGCUAACCAUGCUCAAAGCGAAGGCUACAUCAGGGCGAGUACAAGUCAUAGCGUACAUGAUUGAGCCAACUGCGGAAGCGUAUGGUACUCGGCUCAUUUCUGCUAUCUCAGCUUCGGUACUCGGACUUUGAGUCUUACUCAAUUUGGCAUUACUUUGUAUCGGUAGUUCUCCCUUCUUUGAGUUUUCCAUACUAAAACGUUUUAGUACCUUCUCUAAGUAAGUAUUCUGACUAAGUCCAAUUAGUCUCUUACUUCUUUCUCUUACUAUCCUUAUUCCCAAAAUGUAAGAAGCCUCUCCGAGGUCCUUCAUAGCGAAGCACUUCCCGAGCCAGGACUUAACCUCCUGCAGAGUCGGGAUGUCGUUUCCUAUGAGUAAUAUGUCAUCGACAUAUAGAACGAGGAAGCUUACUAUACUCCCACUGGCUUUGACAUAUACACAAGAUUCGUCUUCGCUUCGUACAAAUCCAAACUCUUUGACUUUCUCAUCGAAGCAAAGAUUCCAUCUGCGAGACGCUUGCUUAAGUCCAUAAAUGGACUUCUCAAGCUUACACACUCUAUCCGGAUGCUUCGGAUCCACAAACCCCUCUGGCUGAGCCAUGUAAACAUCCUCAGCCAACUUUCCGUUAAGGAAAGCGGUCUUGACAUCCAUUUGCCAAAUCUCAUAAUCAUGAAAUGCGGCAAUUGCUAGCAUCACUCUAAUAGAUUUAAUCUUCGCAACUGGUGAGAAGGUCUCAUCAUAGUCAACUCC
rnacentral:lncRNA from 1 species